rnacentral:tRNA from 1 species
GCCUGGGUGGCUCAGUGGGUUGAGCGUCCGACUUCAGCUCAGGUCACGAUCUCGCGGUCCGUGAGUUCGAGCCCCGCGUCAGGCU